rnacentral:misc_RNA from 1 species
ACACGGGCACCGGUGGGGAGACUGCUCGUCUGUAUCAAUGGAAAACUUUUUACGUAACUCGAACGACGAUAAUUUUCCAACGUGAAGGCACCAUGAUGUGCAGUCCUGUCGGCCUGCGUGGGGAACUCUUUACAACGUUGGAUAUUCCGUAGUCAAAAAUUUUCAUAUACUUAUCUAUUUAAACGAGUAGCAAAACAGCAGUUGUGAUGCAGCAUAUAUUGAAUACACUUUCCAAUCCGAACAUUAGGUGCUUACUAUUGUAUGUCGUUGUACGCACGGUAGCACGAACUCGAAACGGCGUGUGUGCUCGAGCAUUUUGGACGGGUACACAUGGCGUCCGGGCUAGUGUAGCCAACAGCCAAAGGCGACAAACGUGUGUACUCGACCUAACCCUCCCAUCCUAUCCUAUUCCUCACAACCGCUGUUUGAUAAGUCAUUUCGCCUUAGGUAGGGGACAUAGAGUCACUUGGCACACGGAGUUGGAACCGUCAUUUGAACGAAAAAGUUGUUUUUGUCAUUAGGUGAGACGCUAAAUGGCCAGCGUCUUAUCGAGUUCCGCCUGGGUCAGGAAGCGGAGGCGGAGCAAGGGCUGACGGUGGCGGCAGCCGAGCUAAUGGUACGGGCCGAGGCGACUCCGAAAGCUCGCCGUCUACGUUAUACGCUCUGGGCGUUUACAGUUCACGGGAACGCGACCGUGGGCGAGCUCGCCGGCACUACGGACGCCGGGGGCGGUAGAGGCGGGCGGGGAUGGCAGCGCGUGGACGUGACGGGCGCGGCGCGGCGGUGGGC